UACUCUGAAAUCUAUUUUCAAAGUACCUCAUCCUGCAGUUGUGUUAUGCAAACUCCCAUUGAUGUGAUUUUGUGUUUUGAUUGUUGCCCUGUGUGCACAGAAUAGUCAUGUACAAUUCAUGGUUUCAACAGGAAACAAGGCAGGGUUUGAGCCUGAAUGUCGAAACAGAGCCACUCCAAAGCUGUGAGCCUGCACAUCUCAUUUCACCCUGGAUUACGUUCUCCCUACUGGAUAGAGAUGAUGGACAAUGAAAGCACAGACCCUUCCUUAACUACAAGGCUAUUAAUGGAAGCUACUGAAUAAGCAGCAGUAACCAGAUACAGUGAGCGGGAAAUGUUAUCUUGAAGGAUCUUCACUGAUAGAGCCUGGAGAUGACGAUGAAUAUCACAAAGCCAAGAAAAAAGUACAUGUUAACCAGAGAUAAA